CACAGUACAGCUCUAAGACAUCAAGACUUUUGAGUAACAAGCCAACUUUUUGACAAACUAAAGAGGCAGUCAAUAAAUAUUUGGUAGCAACCUGUCAUCAGUAACUUCUAUCCACUCUCCCUUCUAGCUCUUCUCAAGUAAAAACAAAAACAGAAUUAAAAGAGCAACAAUAAAAAGCCCACGUGACUUUUUAACAACAAUCUCCCUUGAAUAAAACUAUAAGUCUUAAUAUAUAUAAGGAGUGGCACAGUUAAAAAAAAAACUAAAGCCAGCAAAACAAAGAAUUAGAAAUAAGCAUACUAGAAGUUAUUUAUGUUUAAUGCUUAAAAGUCUGAAUGCACAAACAAUCUACCAUUAUAGAAGUACUGGUGGUCAAUACAAUGCAUUAGAACUAUGUACAAUGCACAGUUUAGUAUCAAAAUCUUUCUACACUGUAGAGUUUUACGAAACUGUUAAUGACAUCAAACACUAAGCACUUAAGACACCAUUUUGUUUUCUGCUACCACACUAGGAACGUCAAUGGACAGUCCGUUUCAACUUGCAGCAUCCAUCCAUUUCUAGUAUGAAAUUAAGUAAUUUUCUACUUAUACAAUAAAGUUUAUCUACACAGUUCUCUUGAUUUUGAUCCAUAGCAGCAAAGGCACUGUACAUCAGCAGAUCCACAGACUUAAAAGAUUUUUUUAAAGCAUUCGAACUGUAAAAGACGUGACCUGCACAGUGGGAGGACUCCUCCCCUGGAUCUGCGCCAUUCCCAAAGAACAUGCCAAAAAAUAGCCCCUAAUUUAUCGUAGACAAAACUGCCCAAAGGCAUACAUCUCCCUUUGCAAAGAAAUGUGGCAAAAAUAUCAAGAAGGGAUUAAGUUCUCCCUUUGAGGCCAAAUUUAAUUUGUUCAUCUGUCUAUAAU
rnacentral:lncRNA from 1 species